rnacentral:tRNA from 1 species
GGAGAAAUAGCAAAGAUGGUCUAUGCGGAGGACUGAAAAUCCUUAGAUGUUGGUUCGAUACCAACUUUCUCCA